UGGGGAAUAUUGCACAAUGGGCGCAAGCCUGAUGCAGCGACGCCGCGUGAGGGAUGACGGCCUUCGGGUUGUAAACCUCUUUCGCCAGGGACGCGGUACCUGGAGAAGAAGCACCGGCCAACUACGUGCCAGCAGCCGCGGUAAUACGUAGGGUGCGAGCGUUGUCCGGAAUUACUGGGCGUAAAGAGCUCGUAGGUGGUUUGUCGCGUUGUUCGUGAAAACUCACAGCUUAACUGUGGGCGUGCGGGCGAUACGGGCAGACUGGAGUACUGCAGGGGAGACUGGAAUUCCUGGUGUAGCGGUGGAAUGCGCAGAUAUCAGGAGGAACACCGGUGGCGAAGGCGGGUCUCUGGGCAGUAACUGACGCUGAGGAGCGAAAGCGUGGGGAGCGAACAGGAUUAGAUACCCUAGUAGU
rnacentral:rRNA from 1 species